GACGGAGGGUGCAAGCGUUGUUCGGAAUUACUGGGCGUAAAGCGCGGGCAGGUGGUCUUUUAAGUCCUUUGUGAAAUCCCGGGGCUCAACUCCGGAUGUGCAUAGGAUACUGGAGGACUUGAGACUGGUAGAGGCGAGCGGAAUUCCUGGUGUAGCGGUGGAAUGCGUAGAUAUCAGGAAGAACACCAGUGGCGAAGGCGGCUCACUGGUCCGGUACUGACGCUGAGGUGCGAAAGCGUGGGGAGCAAACGGG
rnacentral:rRNA from 1 species